UUUUAAAUUAUUUUUGAACGAUAUAUUAACAAUUAUAGAUAAAAUUUAAUAUAAAUGUUAUUAUAUAUUCAAAACUAAAACCGAAUAUAUAAUCCACGCGAUGCGUGGAUAACUUUCUAAUAAAUAAUAAAUCUAAGACCGCAAAAAAAGACCACUAGAAUGAUAACCGAUCUGUGGUUGGUUUGAUAAGAUUUUGGUUUUAGUUGGAAUAUCAAAUUUUGUCCAAGAAAGAAAAAAGAAUGUUUUGUUAUGAAUAAAGAUGGAUGCCCAUUAUAAGGCCCAUCAUCUAAGCCCAUCAUCUAGAUGUUUCUAGGGUUUUACCCUUUCCUUGUACUCCUAUAUAAAGAACCCUUUAUCUCAAUGGAAUAACACACUCAUUUCCUCUACCUCUUUCUCUGUUUAUAACACGUUAUCAGCACGCUCUAAAAGGUAGAUAUAGAGAUUCUUACUUUUUUUUUAAGAACCAUGUUUACUUAUCGACUCAUGGUUCAUAGUACUUAUUUUCUAUUAUUGAAACAAAACAAUAUGAGCCGAUCGAUGAUUAUAGUAUAGAUCGGUAAAAGCAUGUUUUCAAUGAUUCAAUAAAGAAGAGAAUCAUGCUUAUCAUUUGUUUCUAUAAUUACUAUCGUAUGAUUCAAUGAUUCUACAAAGAAAAUCGUUAAAGAAGAGAAUCAUGCUUGUUAAUUGUUAAUUUUUGUGAUUUACUAUUACAAUAUUGAAUAUAUAAAUUACCAAUUUUAUAAUUAUAUAACUAAUUUUGUAACUAUUCAUAGCCCGGUGGUGGGUGAUGCAAACAUGUAUUAAUGUUUUAGCAUUCCAGUUUUGAAUAGUUGCAUCUAUUUUCAAUAUCAUUUU
rnacentral:sRNA from 1 species